GUUCUUUAGUUGUUCGAAUCUCCAGUGAGAAGUAGUUGUGUUAGUGAUUUCCCAGUUCUUUGUGCUAUUGGAAUCCAUUGCACAGCAGUUUUAUUCAAGACUCUGUUCACAUCGUUUCUAUAAAAUUAUUCAGUCACCUUGUGGGCGACAACCUCCUCUUCGAGCCAAGAAGUCUUCUGAUUGGUUUGUAAAUUGUAUCUUUUUUAUUUAAUGAAAACAAUGUAAAUAAAGUGAUAUUAGUCUAUAAUAAAAGUAUAGUUUGAAGUUUUGGAUUUCAUGGCUAAACCUCCCUAUACUAAUUUAUUUUGCCUUUACAUGUUUAUAAGCAAGAUGUUCCUGCAAACUUUGACUUCUGCUGCUCUGAAAAGUCAUUCACAGAGUAUUGAACCUGGGUAAGCGAGAGUUAAUUCCCACACAUUUUGGAGAUAGUAGUGAGCUGGGCGAUUAACUGCAGGGAGUUGUAGAAGGGCUGCAUUAAACGGUUGGCAAUGAGGCUUGCAGGCCUUCUCCAAUAGUUGCCAACAUGAGCCCUACUACUUCCUAGAAAUGCACUCGUAAGGAUAUUUGCACAGGAAUAUUAAAAAUUUAUAUACAUCCCAAUAAUCUUUGAUGAAAGGAUACCAUUUGCUGAGUACUGGUCUUUAUUCUGAUUAUAUCUAUUAUCUGAAAUGAAUUAGAAAUUUACUGGCAAUCUAAUCAUGAUUCCAUUUCAAUUAUUGGUAGUAUUAAUUUUGACUAAAACUACAAGGUCUGAGACAAGUGGAGGACGUGAAAUGAGCAAAUGACUACAAAAGUAGAAUAUUUAUGAGAUCUUUCUGAUAUAGUAACUAAAAUUGUGAUUAUUCUUUGGAAAAUAUUAAACAUCACUUAUUCAAGUGUAAGGAGGAUAUGCUGGGUGCUAUAAUGGGAGAUAUAGUAUUACUAGGGAACCAUAACUAGACUGAAUCUGUGUGAGUGAUUAUUGAGAAUUAUCACAACUAAGACUUUCCGAGGAACUAGAUUUAUAUUGAAUUUUUUGUUUCUUCAAAGUUAUUCAGAUUUAUUGGUGUGGCAGAGGUAUUGCAAGAAUACUCCUUCAGUUCAAGAAAAGUGAAUUAAAAGAGUAGGACGUAUUGGUAUGCUUGUAUUCUUCGUUUAUUAUUGCAACUUGAGUUCAGAAGUUUUCAGAGAAUUUGCAGAGUACAAAAUGUAAUUUUAUUUUUCUGUGUGAUUCAAAAUAAUAUCUAAUUAUCAUUUCUGGAAUUUUCCUGUUUGAAGGAAAUGAACUCUUUGUUAAAUACUUGAAUAACUGAAUUUUUUGGUGGCUUAUCCUAUCGAUUUUUACAUAGCUGAAAUCAAUCUAAAUAAAAGUUGAUAAUUUCAUAAAAUUCAUAAAAAUUGACAAUAUUUUCUAUUUGUAGUUAUCCUUAAUCUAAAUUAUAUUUUGAUGAUCAUCUACAUAAUUACUGCCUUGAGUUUCGUUACCAACAGGUCGUACAUAGGAUAUAAAAAUACCGAAGCUUCUUCUGGGGGCUUUUAAUUGAAAGAUGCGAUAUAACUAGAUGAAAUUGUAAAGGUCUAUUUUUUUCAACUAAUUGAAGCUUUCAAUAUUGACGCUUCAACAAAAUUUUGAAGGAUGCAUUGCAUGCACCCAAUAAAUUGAGCUAAAAGGUCCAUUUUAGUAAUAUUUUUUAAAACGCAUGCAUAAAAAUUCGUAGAAUUUAGUUGAGGUUUCUUAGAAUGCUUUGAUAUGUUAUAGGUUGUUUGGGGAAAUUAUAAGUGAAACACUUGAGAAAUCCCCUACUCUAUUUUUCAGAAUAUUAUUUAUUCCCAAGUGUUUUAUCAUUUGCAUUAACCAUUUAUGUUUUUACACUGCAACAAUAAAUUGUGAGUUUCGAACAUCAUAGUAGAUUUGCUGCUACAUAUUUCCAGUUUUUUUACUGUGAAGCUAGAAUUUUAAUUUAUAAGUAGAUUGAUUCUAUGUCAAAAGUGACUUCGAAUUAGUGAAAUAUCCAAGGCACUAAAAUAUGAGAAUGAAAUAAUGAACUUAUUUUAUAUUAAGUUGUGAAGUGCUUACUAAUAUGAAGAUGUGCGCAAAUGCAUGGAGAUAAAGCUGAAUGUUAAGAGUUUAUCUAAAACUUUACAAUGUAUUUAUUUUCGAAUUUAUGGUUGAUUGAAUACUUUAUUUGGAAGCCUGCAAUUUUAUUGGAACAUAUCAAGUAGACAUAUUUAGCCCAUUACUUAAAAUCAUCAAUUAUUAAUUUAAACUAAUUAUGAUACUGAAUUUUAAUAGUAGUAUGUGACAUAUUUGGUAUAUAGUUUCGGCAAAACUAUCUACUGAAAAGUUUUUUUUUAGCGAAUUAUUUCUUACUGCAAUAAAAUUUUUUUAUAAUGUUCGUUAGAAUGGAACACUGAGAUUUCUUGUAAUAUCUCCUCUCUGUGUUCUGCUACAUAGAAGGUUACGAGAAUUGCAGUAUUCUUUCUGAUUUUGAGAGAUUUCCUAAUUCUCCAAAAAUUUCGCCCACUUUGUUGUAAAUAUUUUUUAUUUAGGAUAAUUUUUCUGAAGAUAAUUUUUUCCGAUCUUUCUUUUUUGGAAUGAAAAUAGUUUCUUCAGAUCAUCUAAGAACUUUUAAAGGUCAUACUAAAUUGUCAGAUUUUUUAGAAAAUUAAAUUAUUUUUCAGAAUUGCUUACUUCGGUUUUUAUAUUAUAUAUACUCCCUAUUUUUUGUGGAUUUUGGAUUGAAACUAUUAGUCACGAGACUUAGUCGAUCAGCAUUAGAAUUUUAUGACUCAAGUACCAGCGUCAGAAUACAGUAUUUUUGUAUUGGUGUAACAUCCUAUCAUCAUAGUGCAGGGUAUACGACAAUUCUGAAAUAUUCGGAUUAUCCUAGACGUAUUUUUCAGAUUAUAUGUAGUUCGGACGGAGCAAUUUUGGGAGCUCUUAACCACAUUAUGAGCAUUCGUUUGAAAAUAACUAAGAAUUAACAAUUUUAUGACCUAUACAUACGAAUUAAAUUCUAAACUUUUAAUUGAAUAGAUUGAGUGAUGAAGGGAUAUAUGGUUUCGAUCGCCUAACAGCUUUUUCCAGAAUUCAUCAUUUAACUUUGUAAUCAACAACGCAAAGGUAUGAACCAUGAAAUAUUUGGGAUGCUUUAACAGUAUUUUUCAGAAUAUUGGAUUACUCCUAUUACUAUUAUCUAAAAAGAAAAUGACUUCAAGAUGUACCUGCAAUUGUGUUUUCUGAUGUCUAAUGGAUCAUCUAGCUUACCAAAGUGUAGGUUAGCAAACUAUCAUAAAGUCCACGUAAGGGUCGGGUCGCAUAAUGAAAAAUUCUAAAAAAAUAAUUUUUUAGAAUAACCAUGUUGUGGAAAAGUAUUUCGAUAGUUAUCAUAAUUAUCGAUUUGUAGUGAGGUCCUUGUUUUUUUAUAGUAACACUUGGAAAUUGGAUGUUUCGUGGUGUGCAGAUAGAAGUAAAUAUUUCACUGAAAUUCGUUAGAAUAUCCUACGAGUAGUUAAGAGUAUAUAGCUUACCUUGGAAACUUUGAAAAUUGGAAAUGCAAUCAUUGUAUUACAUCGACACUCUACCAAUGUUUUAUAAAUUACAAGUGAAAUAUAAGAGUUCAUAGUUCCGUCAAUGACCAUUUUGAGGAAUCCAUAGUAUGACGCCCUUUAUAUUCAUACAUUGAUAUUCUAGUGCCGAUCAGUUCGAAAGUUUGGUAAGAGAUUUGGAUAAUUUAUUUUCGAAAGUCUGCGUAUUUUCCAGAACAGUUUCUGGGAUCUGGAGUUUCACCCUGACAAAAUAUUAAACAUUCUAAAUCACAACCUGCAAACGAUCCUUAAACCUACAGGUGAUAAAAGAUAUUUUUGUGGAAUAUCUAACUGUAUUUUCAGAUUAUUGAAAUGAUUUACGCAGACACUUUCCCCAGAACUAUGGAUAUACCAAAUUGGGUAAUCGCAGAUUAUUUGUUCUAACCGUAUUUUUCAGAAUACAUCAACUAUUUAUUUCAAUUGAUGGUUUUGGUGCGUAUGGGGAUAGAUAAAGCACAGUUUGUUCAGAAGAUACAUAAUUGACAUUCUUCUAAUCACAAAAAGUAGUGAGUGCAGCUCGGUAAUAACGAAAAACACGCAUAAGUCUGUAAUUACAGAUUAUGAAUCGUACCUUAACUCUAUUUUUUAGAAUGUCUUACCUCAAGUAGGUCAUUUUUGCUUCUUCAACAAAAGUUUUUCCAGGAACAGUAUUAACCUUGGGAAAAUAUAUUCAUAAAACAUUUAUAGAAAGGAAUGAUUCAUACAAUACGUCUACUAAAAUCUAUUGUACAGGAAACUUAUUUCAAUAGCAUCAGCAAUUUCCUAUUAGAAGUAAGAUUAAUAGCACUUUAUAGUUGGAGUUGUAUUAUGGUAUUAUGGUAUUAAGUAUUAUGGCACAUAAGAUUUCAGAGUUACAUUCACAGCUUACUCAGGAAAUUGAGUAUUGAUACCUAUCGAUAUGAAAAUUCCCAAGUGUAAUCAUUAUACUAUGCCAUCAAUCAACUAAUGUUUCCUGGUAGAAUCUUGUGAAAAAAUGUUUUGGUGCGUUCUAAAGACAUAUUGAAAAAAGUGCCGGCGUGGAAAUUUUUGGUAAGGGAUUCGUAUAAUUUCUUUUCGAAAAUCUGUAUUUUCUAGAUCUGUUGUUCUCACUCUGCGGAUUUUAAAUCAAUCCGGGAUUCUAAAAAAUAUGGCACUUCUAAUAGUAUUUUCAUAUUAUUGAUUCGAUUUAUUAGGACACAUUUCGGAAAAUGUCAUCCGUCGGAUUUUUUUUGAGAAAACUGGUUAACAUAUUAUCAAAUACGUAGUGCCAAUAAAAAUAAUGAUUGAUGCGUUUCGAGGAACGCAAGAAUCGACAUUGAUAAGAUAAAUCCAAGAAUAUCUAACGUGAAAUUUCGCAAGUUUUUUAAUUGUACCAAGGUAAAUUCAAAUAAAAAAAUAGAUAUUUUUUAGAAUAACUUUUAUGGAAAUGAUCUCGAAAGCAAUGUGGUUCAAGCUUAUCAAAAAUUUGUAACAAUGAAAAAUUCUACUAAGACCGCAGCCUAAACAUAGAUGUCCUUUUCUCUAUUUGCACCUAAAAGAAGGUCUAUGUUUAUAGUGUGCAGUUGGAAUUAAACGUGAAUGUAUUAAUUGUAUUGAUAAAUAACGUUUGAAAGCAUGUGAGUUUUGUUACUUAUGGCAUGCGGUUCAUAAUAAAAACAUGUUUUGCAACAUUUGAUACUCUGAGUUACAUAUAAUCAUUAUAAAUCGCUUGACAAAGUGCCGUCUUCAAAAUUCUUUACUUCAUUUUGCAGUUCCAGUCUAUUUGGAGGUUUGGUAAGAGAUAUAAUUUCAUUUCGAAAAUCUUUUCGUAUUUUUUAGAAUGCAUUUGUAUUUUUUCACUCCAUGCUAUGUAUACAAGAUUAAUUUAUGAAUUUCCACUCUUACCACUUUUCGUAAUUAUUGGAUGGAUUAUCUUAAUCACGCAAGUAUUAUGAUUUGGUCAAACAUACUCGAUAACAUGCUUCGGAAUCUGUUUGGAAUACCGAACGGUAUUUUCAGGUCAUUGGUACGAUUUACUCCGACGCAUUUAGCAACAUUUGAUUCUGCGAAAUUCGACAAUCAGAUGUCAUUUAAGAUGUUUCAGCUAUAUAUUUCGAAAUGAAACUACUUAUUGAAUGGUUUUAUAUGAGCGGAUAGAAGGAGCGUGCCCAAAAUAUCAUGAUUGAAAUUAAUUUCUCAAUCACCUUUAUUUUGCAUCGAACAACCAAUAAUCAGGUCUGUAAUGAUGACGUAAUUUUGGAAUGCAUAACAUUUUGUUUGUAUAAUUUACUCACACAACUUGCAAUUCGCAAGGGAAAUAUGUGAUGUCUUAACCGUAUUUUUCAGGACGUAAAACCUGAAAUAAGCAAAUGACAUAAUUAACAAUUAUUUUUUUUUGGUUAAAGUAGAAAUGAAAUUAUUACCUGAUCAAGAUUUUAUCAGAAAGUAAAGAAAUCAAAGAUGAGCAAGAUAUUCAGACUUAGGAUUAAUUUGCCGUAAUACAGCAGAAUGAUACAGAAAUACAGGAAGAUGUCGAAUAUCAUCGCGAGAUCUUUGGAACUGUAUUUUAACAUUCCCAGGAUAUCUGCAUUACUCCUUGUGUGAUUUAAUCCAAUAGGAAAACGUUAACUGCAGCAAAUCUUUUGGUUUGUUUAAAAACUGCGAGUAUUUUUUUAUAAACUUGCUUGUAAUAUUUUAAUGAACGAUCAAUAAUCAGGUUGGUAAACGUUGGAAUACUAACUGCAUUUUUAGAUUACUCAAUCGAUUUGUCAUGAUUUGGAACAAGUUAUUCGAAGAAAUAUCGACAUUUAUUGACCAAAUAAAGCUAAUUUUAAUUGAGUAUUCCAAAAAAUCGGAUGUCUCAAGCUGCGCAGUUGUCAUUUGUAGUAAGGUACUCGUUUAAAAAAUUUAACGUAGAUGUUUCAGCGAAUUCUGGAAAAAUCAUUCGAUUUACCAAAUUAUUCUAUCAAACUUAGGUAUACUUACAUUCAAUUUCGUUCUGUCAAAUUCCAUUCGACAUUUUUUAAUUUGACAAAGAUUGGGAUUGAUUUUAUUAUGUCUACAAGCGAGCCACGUUUUCUACAACAAAAUUUUUAGAAAUGUUAAUUAAGUUACGUGAGAGAGGAACACAAUAAAUCAUUCUGGUCAUUGUACUGGACACCACAAUCACAACAUAUACGCAUGAACUCGAAAAUUUGGAAAAUUUCAGAUUGCGUCUGCACGUUUAAAAAAAUGGUCAUAUUGAUGUUUGAAAGCACUUCAUUUUAUGUACUUAUGUGCGUUGUUGAGAAACUUUUAGGGGGUGAGAUUUAUUCAAAAUCCAGAUUGCAGUUCGAGUCACUGUCCUACCUUGUAUAGUCUUUUCCAAAGAGGUAGGAUUUGUACUGUAUUGAGUGAACAUUCAUAAGUUAUUAUCAAGCAGAUCCAAAAAUCGUGUUAUUUUUCUGUGAAAAAUAACGAUUUAUGCAGAACUAUGUUUCAUCGUGCAUGUGAUACUAUAAAUUUGACAACGUUAUUUGGAAAUAUUUUUUUAAAAACUGUUAAAAAUCUAUACAGAGUAUGAAUAAUACUAAUUAACAAAUGGGUUAACGAUGUAAAUUGGAAUAAUUUUAUUAUAAAAUGUAAACAUUGAAUCCUGAAAUAACAAGUGAAAGUGUAAAUUUGUCGACUGUAUGGAGGUAAUUUUAAUGAAAUCUUGAAAAAAAAUAUAUUGAUUUUUUCAGAACAUGUGGUAAGGUCCUCCUUGUAUAGUUCCUCGUGAGAAUGAAAUAUAUGUAUCCAUAAUUUGCAGGUGGAAGUUAAAUAUUUCAGUUCGUCUUAAGUUUUAUUGCAGUGCAAAAAUAGAUAACUACGAUAAAUACCGUGAAAAUCUGAUUGCUCCGGAAACUGUUAAAAUGACAGUGAUGAAAAUGAAAAAGGUUGGUAAUCAUUACGUUAUGUUGACAAUGUUUUCUAGAAUUCGUCAUAAUGAUACAUAACGUUGGGAAGCAGGUGAUUUUUACAAUAAAUCAGUUGAACAAGCCUCAAAAUUCGUAAUGUUUUAUCGAGUGUCGGUCGGUGGUCUGGUAAGAGAUUUCUAUAAUUUCGAAAAUAGAUAAUCUUUUCUAGAAUGAUUCUCAGCCUAUGUGAUUACCAAUUCUCUGUGUUUACAAUAAUUGGAUAGAAUACUGUAAUUAUAGAACUAUUUUGAUAUGGUCUGUUACUAAUUAACUCCAUCUAUUUCACUAUGAUGAUUAUCCAAAAUCUUUAUGAGGGCCUAAUUGAUGAUUUUGGGAUAUCUAGAAUCUAUCAGAUUAACGGGAUAAUUUACUCGGACAAAUUUCAAGGAAUGUGGACAACUUGAAAUAGGUAAUCGCAGAUUAUUCAAGGAGUUCUAACCGUAUUUUUCAGAAUGCACCAACUAAGUAUUUUCUUAUCGAUGGAUUUACUGAAAUCUGCUUAUGAUGGACUAUUUACCGUGUUUUCCAGAAUUAAAAUUAUUUGCAGAGUGAUCUGCUUAAUCCAUAAAAACAAGUAAUUCAUUUAUUAUGCCGUCUGCUCAUAUAUAUUUUACAGACUGCUUUAAGAGAGGAAAAAAUGGGUAUAUAUAUCAUUAUAACUGCUUGCGUGUCUUCGGAAAAACUAUCCAUACUUGCAAUUGAAAUGGAAAGGUCAGUUUCUUAAUAUUUCGUACCAUCUAUAAUAUUUUCCAGGUAUCGGUUGAACAUUAUAGAAAAUUAGUGACCGAGCCAAAGGGCUGUCAUUUUUUCUGUGUCUCAUCUAUUUUACAGAGAUAUUCCAACAUUCCCGUAUCAUCUAAUGAUGAUCAUCACUUUCUAUUUGUUUUAAUGCAAUACUACGGCAAUUCGAAAAAGCGAGUCGCAUAAUCAGGUCGGUAAAGAUGAAGUAUUUUUAUAGUAACUAACAAAAUUUUCGAUUAUUUUAAUUAUUUUCUCCUGCACGUUCUACAAAACUUCACAUAUCAAAGUGGGUAAGAUGGUUUAACCCUAUUUUUUAGAAUGUACCAACGGCAGAAUUAAAUACACAGAUAUAAAUAACAGGAUUCGUCGUUUGUUAAAGAGGUCUUGUAAUUAUAAUAUCCUGGGAUAUCGGACAACAAACAAUAAAGCAGGUCGGUAAUGAUGAGGUACUUUGGAAUACAUAACUGCAUUUUCAGUUCGUUCGAUUUGCUUCAGACACAUCUCACCCAACUUGAAAUUCGCAUUGGGCGGAUAUGAUGUCUUAACCGUAUUACAAUUGUUUAGUGCUUCAGUGUCGAACAUUUAACGAUAUUUUCAGAAUUAAAUUUCAACUUAUAUAUUAAUUAUCUGGUAUGUCACAAUCUAUUUACUUCACUAUGUGAUCAACCUUUCGGCAAAAUCUAUAUUGCUUUCUAUAUGAUUGACAUUAAUUAUAGGAAGUCUCUAGAUUAAAAUAAUGCAAUUUUUUUUCAUUUUUCGUGAUUAACAUGCUUAACACCUUCAAUGGAUAACCAAUCAGCAGGUCAUAACUAUAUUUAGAAUACAUAAGUUUUGAAGAUUAUUGGAACAAUUUAAUCGGACAUAUUCAGCACAUUAUCUGGAAGCUUAUGUUUAAUGUCUAUACAGAAUGGGAAUAAUACUUAUUACCAAUUGGCAUAGUGAUUAAUUAAUUUCAUAGAAUGGGUAUUAUCGAUAAAAUAUUGAGGUGUUUGGAACAUUUUGGUUAACAAAUGUAAACUUUUGAUGAAUCGAGGAAUAUUUAACAGAGAAAGAUCGGUUUUUGUUGACAGUAUGGAAGUACUUUAAAUGCGGUAUUCCAAGAAAAUAUAUAUAUUGUUUUUUUAGAAUAUAUAGUAAGGUCCCCUUUCCAUAGAUUCUCGUGAGAAUGAAAUAUCUGUGCCCAUAGUUUGCAGCUGGAAUUAAAUGUGAAAGUGAAAUCUUUGAAAUUAACGAAAUUCGUCGUAGUAUACCACCCGUAGUUUUAUAGCAUUCAUAGUAACUUCGUGAAACCUGAUUGCUUCGGACACUAUUACUGAUGACAACGCAAAGGUCGGUAAUCAUUACGUUAUGUUGACAAUGUUUUCUAGAAUAAUCACGUGAAGAAAUGUAUCCUGAAUUGGUAACUUACAAUUUAUAUUUGUGCAUUUUAAAGAAAUUCGCCAUAUUGAUAUAACAUUCGGAAGUAGGUGAUUUUUUACAGUUUGAUAUACGAUUUUUAUCAAAAAUCGAUGUACUAUCGAUCAAUCAUUAUAAAUCAGCUGAAGUCUUUAGAAGGUCUGGUAAGAAAUUUAUAUAAUUUCUUUUCGAAAAUCUUGGUUUUUUUUUUAUAAUAACUCGGACCAUGCGAUGUCCAAUCUUCUUAACUCUGCUUUUACAAUGCUUGGAUAGAAUACUUAAAUUAUGCAACUAUUUUGAUAUGGUAUAUUAUUAAUUAAUUCCAUCUAUUUUACUUCGAUACUAGAACUUAUUUGAGGGCCUAAUUUUAUGAUUUUAUCUUAAAAUUAGUAAACGCAGGUUGUUCAAGGUGUUCUAAACGUAUUUUUCAGAAUUAUUUGUUUUAUCGAUGGAUUUGCAAUAUAUUCAGAUAUUGGAGGAUAGUUUGGAAAAACUCAUUAUUGGUAUUUUCACAAUUGGAAUACCCAACCGAAUUUUCAGUUAACUUUAACACAUAUCAGAUGAGUUGAAAUACGCAAACCAUGGAUUAUAUACCAAAUUCUCCAGAGUUUAAAUUUUUUGCGCAGUACCUUGCCUAACUAUAAUCCAUAAAAACGAAUAAUCCAUUUAUUAUAUCGAAUGCUAAUAUAUAUUUCACAGACUGCGACAAGAGAAGAAAAUAUGUUCUCGAAAAUGGGUAUAGAUCAUUAUAAUCGCUCGUGUGUAUUCGAUAAAAACUAGAUUUAUUUAUUCUUACAAGAGGAAUGCAAAGGUCAGUUUCUCAAAAUUUCGUACCGUCUAUAUUUUCCAGGUAUCGGUUGAAGAUAAUAUAAAAUUAAUGACCAAGCCAAAGGUCUGUUAUUUCUUCUGUGUCUUAUCUAUUUUUCAGAGAUAUCAACAUUCCCAUAUUAUCAGAUGAUUAUCAUUACACAAAAUUGGUAUUGAUUGAGACUGAGUAUUUUUAUAGUAACCAACAAUAUUUUAGAUUAUUGUAACUAUUUGCAGAAUAUAAAAAUUGACAUGUCGAUAUCGAUAAAGUGUUUUAACCCUAUUUUUUAGAAUUUACCGAAAGAAGCUUAAUGAUAUAUGAAGAUAUAUUAAGAAUAGGAUUUGUCGUUUGUUGAGCACAUCAAUUCAAUUAUUCUUGAAAUUAUAAUAUCUUAUCUUAUCGUAUAUUUUAUCGGAUAACAAAUAAGCAAGCUGGUCGAUAAUGACGAAAAACUUAGGAAUACAUAACUGCAUUUUCAGUUCUUUCGAUUUCCUUCAAACACAUCUCACCCAAAUUGAAAUUCCCCUUGGACAUUAACCGUAUUUUUCAGGACUUGUUUAGUAUUUCAGUUAAAACUUGAGAUAAUUAUUGCUUCUUCUUAUAUAUUUUUCCAAGAUGUGAACUGAAUUGAAAAUGUUUAAAAUGUUUGUGGCAAUAUGAUAUCCAAUAAAAACAUUAUUUUUCUGUCGAACAUUUAACGAUAUUUUCAGAACUAAAUCUCAACAUGUAUGUGAAUUUUCUGGUUUCUUACCAUUUAGUUACUUUACUAUAUGAUCAGCAGGUCAGUAAUAAACUACUUAUAUUUGGAAUACCUAACGGCUUUUUAAGAUUAUUGAACGAUUUGAUUGGAAAUAUUUGGCACAUUAUCUGGAAAUAGUUUUUUUUGAAACUACCUAUUACCAUAUGGACUAUAUGACUAAUUAAUUUCAUGGAAUUGGUAUAAUAUAUAAAAUAUUGAGGUAAUUUUGAAUAACUUGAUCAAAAACGUGAACUAAUGAUUAUCAAGGAAUAAUAAGAAAAGGAUUUUUGGUGACCGCACGAAAUUAAUUUCAAUGAAAUAUUCCAAAAAGAUAAAUCUUGUUUUGUAGAAUUAUGCCAAGGUCGUCGUUGUCUAUAGUUGCUCUUAAAUAUGAAAAAUCCGUAUCCGAAGUUUGGAGUUAGAAUUGAAUUUUUUAGUGGAAUAUUAAAGAUUCAACAGGAUUCAUCCUAGUAUUAUGACAAUAAAGUGAGAACGUCAGUAACUAAUUAUAAAGUUAUGUUCACAAUUUUUUCUAGAAUAAUAUUGUGAUGAAAGUUUCACGAAUCAGGGACUAAUUGUAUUUGUGCUGUCAAAAGAAAUUCGUCAUUUUUAUAAUAACGUUCGAAUGCAUACCGAUAGUAAGAGGCUCAUAGAAAAUAAAUUAUGAAAUUAUGGAAACUAUCAAUCAUUUAUUAUAAAUCAGUUUGAAAAAUAUCUUCUUGAAAAUUCGUAAUUUUUUAUUUUUGUGCCAUUUAGAACGUCUGGUAAGAAAUUUAUAUAAUUCUUUUUCGAAAAUCUUUUCGUAUUUUCUAGAACUAUUCCCAGCCCAUGUGAUGACUAACCUCUCUCGGCUUUUGCAUUUAUUGGAUAGAAUACUUUAAUUAUGCAAGUAUUUUGAUAUGGUCUAAUACUAAUUAAAUCGCAUCUAUUUUACUUUGAUUGUGCCUCAGAAUCUAUUUGUCAGCCAAAAUGGUGAAUUUAAGAUAUCUAGGAUCAUUAUGAGAUUAUUGGAAUGAUUUUUUCGGACACAUUUCGAAGAACGUGGAUAUUUUAAAAUUGGUAAUUGCAAAUUAUUUAAGGUUUUAACCGCAUUUUUUAGAAUGCACCAACUAUUUGUUAUCGAUGGUUUUACUGUACUUUCGUAUAUAUGGAGGAUAGUUAAAAAAUUCAUAAUUCAUAUUCUUACAAUUGGAACACCGAACCUAAUUUUUAGUUUACCACAAUACAUCCCAGAUAACUUUAAUACGCAAACGAUGGAUUAUAUAAAAACAUGCUUCAGAUGCCUCAUUGCAAAAUUGUGAUUAUUUGCUCCACAACCUUAAUGAUGAACCAGUAACAAGGCCGGUAAAGACGAAUCAUUUUUGAAUUAAUUAACUAUUGAGACAAUUUGCUCGAACACACUCUGAAAACCUUGACAUGCCUAGAUCAUUAAUCGAAAUAGUGAUAAUAGAUUAAGAUGGGAUAUUUUCGAAAGUAUCUGUAUUUUUCAGAAUAAUUUCCAGCAAACGGAUUAAUAACUUUUCCAAAUUACUGAUUGUUGAUAAAUUGGAUUCUGCCAUUAUUUAGUUGAUCAGAACUACUACUAGGAAAUACAAGAAAUAUUGUAAUCUGACGAAAUAAAUAUGAUAAUACUCGUUAGUUUUGUAAGGAACUUAUUGGACAAUCAAUUAGUCUGUAGGUGAUAUUGAGAUAACUGGUCGCUUUCCUUUAUUUCAAAAUCUGUAACCGCAAUAAUGAGACAUUGUGAAGUACAUUGAAGAUGAAAUAAGUUUCAUUGAGUAUUGAUAGAUAGAGCUUAUUGAGGUUUUUGGGGUAUAACUGGUGUUAUUCGGCACAUGGGUAAUUUCAAAUAUUUCCAUAACACUUAUAAUAGGAAAAUAUUUAUUAAUAUAAAGAGGAAACUGAUCUAUUAUUAGAAAAAAAUAUUCUAUUUAAAGAGGAGUGAUGUUAAUAUCUUUGAAUUAAGAGGAUUUAUUUAUUAUUGAAAAGAUAACAUUAAAUACAAUGAGCAGGGAAGGUUGACAAUUUUAUGUUAAAUGAGACCUUUUGAUGAGCUGGAGAAAGGUGAUGGUUUCAUUAUAUAUGAGAAGAAUAACACUUCUCACUUUGUGUGGAUAUAUUGAUGGAAACUAUUGGUCGAUGGUUUCUGAAUGAAACAAGACAAUGGCACCUGAAUUGUUGAGACAAUAUUUCUUGAAUGGAUGAAUCGAUGGUUUUUAAAUGGAUGGACCGAUGAUUCCUGAUAUUACCGGAUGGAUACAGACGGCGGUUCCUGGAUGGAUAGAGAAGGAGUUCCUGGAUGGAUAGAGAAGGGGUUCCUGGAUGGAUAGAGGGGGUUUCUGGAUGGA